rnacentral:rRNA from 1 species
AUGAAGGAGUGGGACGUUAGAAGCCCAGCCAUGAUUGGAUACUGCUAUGCAGUGAGAAAGCUUGAAAAGAAAUUUGAAGGGUUAGAGCUCCAUCAUAUACCCCGACUGAAGAAUCAAGCGGCUGAUGAUUUGGCUAAGAUAGGUUCCAACAGGGAAGCCAUCCCUAGUGAUGUAUUCUUGGAACAUAUCCAUACUCCAUCAGUUAAAGAAGAUCCUUUUACCGAAGAAGCUCCGUAG